rnacentral:rRNA from 1 species
GUGUCAGCCGCCGCGGUAAGACGAACCGUGCAAACGUUGUUCGGAAUCACUGGGCUUAAAGGGCGCGUAGGCGGCCGAGCGGGUCGUGGGUGAAAUCCCCCAGCUCAACUGGGGAAGUGCUUACGAUACCACUGCGGCUGGAGGAAGGAAGGGGCAGCGGGAACUGUCGGUGGAGCGGUGAAAUGCGUUGAUAUCGACAGGAACGCCGAUGGCGAAAGCACGCUGCUGGUCCUUUUCUGACGCUGAGGCGCGAAAGCCAGGGGAGCAAACGGGAUUAGAUACCCCGGUAGUCCUGGCCUUAAACGAUGAGAACUAGGUAGUGGGCUCGACCUGGGCACACUGCCGCAGUGAAAAUCCUAAGUUCUCCGCCUGGGGAGUAUGGUCGCAAGGCUGAA